AGACGUCUACAUUAGAUACCCGUGUAGUCCCAGCCGUAAACUAUGCGCGUUAGGUGUAUCGGUGACCACGAGUUACCGAGGUGCCGAAGGGAAACCGUGAAACGUGCCGCCUGGGAAGUACGGUCGCAAGGCCGAAACUUAAAGGAAUUGGCGGGGAGCACCACAACAGGUGGAGCCUGCGGUUUAAUUGGACUCAACGCCGGGAAGCUCACCGGAUAGGACAGCAGAAUGAUUGCCGGGCUGAAGACCCUGCAUGACUAGCUG
rnacentral:rRNA from 1 species